CAAUAACACAGUGGCCUACAUCAUUCUGCAGCAUUAAAGGUCCCCAAUAACACAGUGGCCUACAUCAUUCUGCAGCAUUAAAGGUCCCCAAUAACACAGUGGCCUCCAUCAUUCUGCAGCAUUAAAGGUCCCCAAUAACACAGUGGCCUAC